UGCAUUGGAUGCCAACCGCCGUUAAACCUCAUAGAAGAAGGAACACUAGAACUGUGCUGUGAAGACGAUAGCUUUUGUAUCCGUUUCAAAUGCAUUACUACAGGACGACUUGAAUUAAGUCUGAGGUCGGUAACAUCAACAGUGAGGACAAACCCAACCUGCCUCUCUCCUUCCACACUGAAUCCAAACCUACAGUCACUGGGUCCUGAUUGUGACAGUGGAGCCCAGUUUGCACUGCAGGAUCCAGAGAUGGCAUCAGUGAAGCUGGAAGACUGCAGUCAAACACUGGAGCUGAAUGUCAACAUUAAAGAUGAAGAAGAAGAGGAGAAGAUUGGAACAUCUGUUUCUCAUGGAGACCACGUUGAGACAUUCCCUGCAUCCAGACAACAACAGCAGGAAGAUCACAGAGCUAAGAGGUCUCACCACUGCCCACAUUGUGUGGAGAUUUUCCCAUUUCUAUCAAAG